UAUCAUCUGUUUGCGUCUAGGGGUCAGUGCGGCGUGGGUCGUCGCCUCGAGGUUUCUGCUUGAGCCAGCUGCCGUGAAGACAGUAUAUUCGUGGUUAUCACAUACAUUUCCUGUUGUGGUGCCUAGAUAUACUUGCAUUUUCUUCCAGCCGCGGCAUAGUCCGUCCAUCGUGGAUGGAAGAUUCCGGCUGACUUCUGCUGAUCGGCGGGCCCUGAGCAGAGGUUGCCGCGAUGUCGGCCGCCGACCAGAUGCGCGCCAUGCUGGACCAGCUGAUGGGCACCAGCCGCGAUGGGUGUGGCCAGCUAAAAAUGCGUGUAUCCCGCCACCAGAUGUCAGCAGUCACGUGUGUAUUCCAAUAGCCCAGCCAGUCAACUGUUGCACAGUAUUUCGUCAUUGCUGUUCAUUCAUGACUUGUCUAACAUUGACUGCCAAUGCCUAGUUCUCAUCCUGCUGCCAAGACCAAUAGUGUCGCUCAUUUAAAACCUCAGUGCCAGUCUUGAUCAGUAAAAGACGGGAAAUAUGCCGUUCCCGGUCGCCCGGAACAAUCCAGACUUUGUUCAUAGCUGUAUCAGUCUUAUCUUCUCCGCUUCACCCGUGUGACUCAUGAUAGAGUGCAUCACAAUAAU